CUGACAGCUGUGGCGUAGGUUUUUCAAUGUGAUGUUGCCUGGAUCGCAAGAAAAAUAUCAAGGGCUGGUGAGAACAGCCAUGUUCUAAAAGCAUCUCUGCCUGGGUUAGACCACUGCCUACCAAAGAGGGCUUAGGUUGGAAGCACAGUGUUUGUUUACCACACUGCCCCUGGGUUUGCCUCUGGCUUGUUCUUCCUGGGGGAGAGGCAGUGGAUCUGCUGCUGGUUCCUAAAACACUGACAUCUGUGAUGGCCUUCUGUAGUGAAACCAUUUUCCUAGCAGCAGCAUCAGGCAGAAAUGGUGCUGAUCUGGGGCUCUCCAGUGUAUUCCUGGCUGUGGGGAAUGCCAUGAGGGCAUCCAAGGCACACACACACACGGUGAGAAGCAUCUUUA
rnacentral:lncRNA from 1 species